GAGACAUGGUGGCGGCAGAAGCCCGACAACGAAGGCGAUAGUGCUACGGUGGAAGAGGAAGAAGAAAAUAAUAUGAGUUUGGUCACUGCUUUAAAGAAGGAAAAAUGGGAAGAGAAAAAAAACAAUAAGUUACGCGGCGAUUGCCACAGUGGUGGAGGACAGCAGUGGUGGUGCAAAGGAGGUUCGGCGGUAUGAUGAUGGUGGUUCAAAGCUAAGAAAUGGUGGAGGAGAAAGAAAAAGAAUGGAAAAAGGGAGGUUGAGAGCUAAACAAAAGAGAAAAGGGGAGGAAAUAGGGAGGAGUAAGGGGUAG
rnacentral:lncRNA from 1 species